rnacentral:tRNA from 1 species
GCGCAAAUGGUUUAGUGGUAAAAUUCAUCGUUGCCAUCGAUGAGCCCUGGUUCGAUUCCGGGUUUGCGCA